UCCUUGGUGACUCAGAGGGUAAAGCAUCUGCCUGCAAUGCAGGAGACCCAGGUUCGAUCCCUGGGUUGGGAA
rnacentral:tRNA from 1 species